GAGAAAUGUGAAGUCUGCCAGCUAGCCCUGAGAAGCAGGCAUGACAAGAGAGGAUGCCCGUGUUACAGAUGAGAAAAACAGAGGCCCUGGGAGGAAGCUUGCCUAAUGCCACUCAGGAGGUAGAGGCAAAGCUGGGAAAGGCCCUGGGUCCCCAGACUGCCCCUCUGGAACUCCACAUGCAGCCACCUGGCUGUCCUGCCCGGGAUGCCAUCCGCAGGCUAGGCUGGCGCUCAUGCCCAUGCCCUGCUGUCCACUGACACCCCGCAGAGCUUAACACCCCGCUGAGCCUGCCCUGCAGCCCUUGCCAAGUCUGUCCGAGUGGCCUCAGUCAUUGGCAAGUCACAUUGCUGACAUCGCAACUGCAUAAAAUUAAUUUAUUUAGUUAAGGGAGGUGUUAAUUAAGAGUUCUCGUUUAUUGUCUUUGCAGACAGCUCUCGGGGGCUUCUGAGUUGUCAUUGCUGGUGACAGCAAAAGCUAAUGGUAUCACAAGUUAUUAAUAGGACGGUGUGAGAGGCGGAGGGGCAGGAGCUGGGGCUGUGGGGGAUGGGAGAAUGGAGAGCUGCGGGAGGGGAGAGGAUGGUCCCCUACUUUCUUCUCACCAAGUUGGGCUCCCCUCUGCAAGCUGAUCCGAUCACAGGCAUUUUCUGGGGGAUCUGGGGUUUGCUGCCAGGCCCCGUGAUGCUCAGGAUUUUGUGAGUCCUGAAGGAAGU
rnacentral:lncRNA from 1 species